GACGAACGCUGGCGGCGUGCUUAAUACAUGCAAGUCAAUUGGAGUACCGGUAGCAAUACUGGUACAACGAUGGCGCACGGGUGCGUAACGCGUAGGUAAUCUGCCCUUGGGUCUGACAUAACCCGCCGAAAGGCGAGCUAAUAUCAGAUGAUGCAGCGGCUUGACAUCAAGACAGUUGUUAAAGCUUCGGCGCCCAUGGAUGAGCCUGCGUCGAUUAGGUAGUUGGCGGAGUAAAAGCCCACCAAGCCCACGAUCAGUAGCUGGUCUGAGAGGAUGAUCAGCCACACUGGAACUGAGACACGGUCCAGACUCCUACGGGAGGCAGCAGUAAGGAAUAUUGCUCAAUGGGAGAAAUCCUGAAGCAGCAACGCCGCGU
rnacentral:rRNA from 1 species